CCUGUCUUUAGGGAUGAGGUCUGCUUCCAGUAAACACCUGCUCCCCUGUGCCACCAUCUUACUGCCCGACUUGACGAAGGACACAAAGCACAGGCCAUCCGUGUAGCAGAAGUGACAAUCAAGAAUACCUAUCCACACUGAUGAUUCUGGCAUCUCAUGGACAAUGGACAUUGAGAUACAAUCUGAGAUGGUGGGCUUCGUGGAUGGCUGAAAUGACAUGGAAAGACCCAUCUUCAAUUGGUUCACAGAACUCCAUCCCUCUGUGCACAUUGUGGAAUGGCUCCGAGGAGGGUUUAUUCCCUAUGGUAGACUAUAGUCAUCCAUUACAAGACACCCUACACAGGGAUGCUUAUGCUGGAGCAUUUGUGCUCUCUGUACAUUGAAGGUAUGUGUGGAUGAGCCGUUCUCAGCUCUGCCAAUCAGUGGACAAAUGGAGCCCACAUCACCAUUCAUCAUACAGAUGGGAUGCUUUGUUUCCACGAGCCUACUCCGUAAAUUGGAUCGCGAUUAAGAUUAAACACGUUAUGGCUUCGUUAACUAUAACCUUCUCAUCUCUAGACUACAUCUCCUAUCCAUCCGUUAAAAUAAAAAUAAACUCCCUGCACAAUUUUAGAAUUGGAAAUCGAGAUAAUGACUAUACUGUGACAAGGUAAUUUUGCUAUAGCAAAGCUUCAAUGGAGAAACUGAAAAAUAUAUACAUUGAUGCCUCGGGCAACUACUCGUGGGUUACAAUGUCAACGUAGGCUACAUGCGCCUCCAGUAUCCAUGGAUGCAUCAGCAGGCACGUAGAGUAUGUUUGGUAGACUAAGUAAUCAUUCCUUGUUAGUCAAUUAUCAGAAACACCACGUAUUGAAUCGAUACGUCUCCAAUAUUAUGUAACAAAUCGUAUGCUUUGAAUCUGGUAAACGGGUCAUUCGGUAGUCAGUUAUUUGCAACAGUGUAUCUAACGUUAAAUAGCCUAGGGGCUUAGCCUAGGCUACAUAUUGAUAUUCCUACGUGAGUCCUUAUCAAUAAUUUACUAUUUAGACAUUUUAGAUGAUAAUGUGCUCUUUGGACUAAUGUCUUCAGAUAACUUAUUUUGUUGUAUUCGACAAGUGCUAUGACGAGCUUUUUAGAUCUCUAGAGACACACAUCCUCAGCAACGAAGCGGGUGCAUUGUAUGAUCCAAUGUCGCCACCCUAUCACGCUUCCAUGAUAAUUAUCUGGACAUUGUAUCACAUUGUAUCAAGUAUAAAACUGUCACGUUUUCAACAGCU